rnacentral:rRNA from 1 species
CCUACGGGAGGCAGCAGUGGGGGAUAUUGCACAAUGGGGGAAACCCUGAUGCAGCGACGCCGCGUGUGGGAAGACGGUCCUCUGGAUUGUAAACUACUGUCCCCAGGGACGAAGAUGACGGUACCUGGGUAGGAAGCUCCGGCUAACUACGUGCCCGCAGCCGCGGUAAUACGUAGGGAGCGAGCGUUGUCCGGAAUUACUGGGUGUAAAGGGAGCGUAGGCGGGACUGCAAGUUGGGUGUCAAAUCUACCGGCUCAACCGGUAGCCGCACUAAAUACUGCAGUUCUUGAGUAAAGUAGAGGCAGGCGGAAUUCCUAGUGUAGCGGUGAAAUGCGUAGAUAUUAGGAAGAACACCAGUGGCGAAGGCGGCCUGCUGGGCUUUUACUGACGCUGAGGCUCGAAAGUGUGGGGAGCAAACAGGAUUAGAUACCCCAGUAGUC